rnacentral:rRNA from 1 species
GACGAACGCUGGCGGCGUGCUUAACACAUGCAAGUCGAACGGAAAGGCCCUGCUUUUGUGGGGUGCUCGAGUGCGAACGGGUGAGUAACACGUGAGUAACCUGCCCUUGACUUUGGGAUAACUUCAGGAAACUGGGGCUAAUACCGGAUAGGAGCUCCUGCUGCCUGGUGGGGGUUGGAAAGUUUCGGCGGUUGGGGAUGGACUCGCGGCUUAUCAGCUUGUUGGUGGGGUAGUGGCUUACCAAGGCUUUGACUGGUAGCCGGCCUGAGAGGGUGACCGGCCACAUUGGGACUGAGAUACGGCCCAGACUCCUACGGGAGGCAGCAGUGGGGAAUAUUGCACAAUGGGCGGAAGCCUGAUGCAGCAACGCCGCGUGCGGGAUGACGGCCUUCGGGUUGUAAACCGCUUUCGCCUGUGACGAAGCGUGAGUGACGGUAAUGGGUAAAGAAGCACCGGCUAACUACGUG